rnacentral:rRNA from 1 species
CCCCUAGAUGUUCUGGGCCGCACGCGCGCUACACUGAACAGUUCAACAAGUCUUAACCUUGGCCGAUAGGUCUGGGUAAUCUUUGAACGCUGUUCGUGAUUGGGAUAGACCUUUGCAAUUAUGGGUCUUCAACGAGGAAUUCCUAGUAAACGCAAGUCAUCAGCUUGCAUUGAUUACGUCCCUGCCCUUUGUUCACACCGCCCGUCGCACCUACCGAUUGAAUGGUCCGGUGAAAUCUCGGGACGGCGGCUUGGUCGCUUGCGUCCGACUGCUGAAACUUGAUUAAACCAUAUCAUUUAGAGGAAGGUGAAGUCGUAACA